CCCUCUCAUUUUGCUGGCAUCUGAAGCAUCCACUGACUCCACAGUAACAGGUAUUUACGGCUGAGCUCAGGGAACUUCACCCCUUUUAGGGUUGGGGCGAGGAGGAGAGAGAUGCCGAGACACCCGGCCACACACUCAACCUCCAGAGUGAGGCGAGAUCCCAGGCGGUCACUAGGACACAGCGGCCCACUCCCUCCCAGGGGAGCUUGGCAUCUGAGAGCCUGAGGACUGGCAAGGCUGAGGCAUACUUGGCAGCAGUGCUGGGCCCGCAGGCCCUGAGUCCAGCCCUAGAGCCUCUUCGCCCUUCUCGUUAACUGUUGGUGUUUCCUAAGACUUUUGAACUCUCCCUUCUCGAUGGAUGUUCUGUUCGUGGGUCAUCACCUCUCCUCCUAGAACUCCAAUUACCACCAAGAGCUAUCUGUCUCCGUUCCCGAGUUCCUGAAGCUCUAGACCUGUGAUGGCGAACCUUUUGAGCUCGGCGUGUCAGCAUGUUGAAAAACCCUAACUUAACUCUGGUGCCGUGUCACAUAUAGAAAUUUUUUGAUAUUUGCAACCAUAGUAAAACAAAGAUUUAUAUUUUUGAUAUUUAUUUUAUAUAUUUAAAUGCCAUUUAACAAAGAAAAAUCAACCAAAAAAAUGAGUUCGCGUGUCACCUCUGGCACGUGUGUCAUAGGUCCGCCAUCACUGCUCUAGACCCACAUUUCUACACAUUACAGGACAGCCCCACCAGGAGGCCGCAUAGAUAAAAAAACUAGCUCUGAAGAGGUGGCCAUGAUCACCCAGAAAGUAAGAAAUGAAGCCAGAAUUCUGCACGCUACAUUGCUUGGCUCAAGGAUGCAGGCCCAUGGUGGAUAGAGCUGGGGUCUUAUUCAUUAAAUGUACGCUGGAUACUGAAUGAAUUCAUGGAUUCUCUAAGGUUAAAGAGGGGAUAAACGUUCUAAGACAGCGGUUCUCAACCUGUGGGUCGCGACCCCUUUGGCAGUCGAACGACCCUUUCACAGGGGUCGCCUAAGACCAUCCUGCAUAUCAGAUAUUUACAUUACGAUUCAUAACAGCAGCAACAUUACAGUUAUGAAGUAGCAACGAAAAUAAUUUUAUGGUUGGGUCACAACAUGAGGAACUGUAUUUAAAGGGCCAGAAGGUUGAGAACCACUGUAGAGAAGACUGUAGAUUGCAACAUGCACAUAAUUUCACUCCUUCCCAAAACUCUACCAAUAUUACAAUUUAAAAAGGAGAAAUUUUUGAAUGGCAGAAGUCCCCAAGGAUAAGAACAGUAGAGACAACCCACAACAAAACUUUGGAAUCUGGAAAGCAGAUGGGCCUGUGACAGUUGAGAGGAUGUGUUCUACUAAAACUACUGAGUAAACCAACAAAGGAGAAGACACAAGAUACAGGAAACAGAAGACCCUAACACAGAAGGGCUGGGAAGGAAAUGCCCAGGAUGCUGGAGAGAGAUCCCAAGAGGACAGCUAAGCAUCAUGAUAGAAAGCAACCAGUCCAUGCUGCUCCAGGACACAAGGCCCUGAAACCUCUUCAGAAAGAUGGCUCUGAUAGAAUAUUGAAUGGAAAAUACCAUCUUGAUAAAUUUAGACAGUGACUGAAGAGUUCGACUCAUUGAAAGAUACAUAGAAAACUAAGCAAACAGAAAAACCAACUCCAGGGAGAGCAAAAAGUGGUGCAGGAAAGGAAAAGUCAUUAUAGUUUAUUAUACCAUAACAAUGUAAACUCGGACAGUAGAGUGAAGGAAAAAAAAACGAGAUAUACCUAGAGUGGAUGGACUUAAAGAUGGGAAGCAUUAAAAGGUGGAAAGAUGGGAAUGAGGGAAUUAAAGUCAAAUCCUCAUCUUGGACCAAGAUGGAAUAAUAAAGAUCAGAUUUAAUUUCCUGACUGAAAUAACAAUAACAGAGAAAUAGAUAAAAUAUACAAAAUGGUUUUAAAGAUAUCAGAUCUCAGGAAACAAAAGACAGUGAUACCCAUGAGACAGGAAACAAAGGACCUCAGCCCUACAGUUGGGUUUCCAAACUACAGCCCAGGGAAGGGAACCAGUCAGACUCCAAAAGACUCCCUUAGUUGUGGAGAUGGAGCUGAGUGUGGGGAUACUCAUGCGGCCAGAGUUCACAGAGCAGAUCAUCAGAAAAGAGAGGGCACCAUAAAGGUCUCUGAAGGGCCCCCUCAAAUACUCAGCUGAGUUCUGAUCAUCACAUGAAUGUACAGAAACUACCCAAGGCUGGGAGCAAAAACACCCAAAAGGAUAGAAGUAACAGUGCCUGGCACACACAAGUCUGGGAAAAGUGCCUAUUCCUAACAGGUUGGAAAAGCUAGGCAUUGAGUAAAAUACACAAACGGGUCUUGCCUCAGCAGUGGGGAAUUAUUAGCCCUAGACUGAGCACAGCUCUGCUCCCACUUAACAAAUCUUAAGAACAAGACCCAAGAGGAUCACACUAUUUCCAAGUCACUUAACUAUAUCCCUGAACAAAGCUCAAGAAUAUUUAAUACAUAGCAAUCAACAAGAACAUUCACACCGUCUGGCAUCCAAUAAAAAAUUACUAGGCAUACAAAAACCUAUAAUCCAUAAUAAGGAAAAAAGGCAAUCAAUCAAAACCAACCCAAAACUGACACACAUUAGAAUUAGUAGACAAAGACAUGAAAACAAUUAUUAUAACCAUAUUUUAAAAAAGACUGUAAUUGAACUUCUAGAAUAAGAACUACACAUUAUGAGAUGAAAAUAUAAACUGAAUGGAAUCAGAGGCAGAUUAGACACUGCAGAAGAAAAACUUGAAGACACAGUACUAGAAAUUCCAAAAUGAAAGAGAGGGAAAAAGAGAUUCCUUUUUAAAUGAACAAAACAUCCAUGGACAGUGGGACAAUUUCAAGUGGCCUAACGUACAUAUAAUUAGAGUGCUUAAAGAAAGA